UUAUGACAAUUGGCAAAUACAUUUAUUUAUGUUUUCCCUUCAUUCUAAUUUCUAGAUCCAUCUCUUCCCCUCUUGCAUGAGCAGAAGAGACGAGAGAAAGAGACUCCAUUAUGUUAUUUAAAUGCAACACUCGUGAACAGCGAGGGAAAUAUUCUAAUGUCGACAUAACUUUUUUGUGGACCAUGUUACAAAAUCGAACCCUGAAAGGAAAAAAAAAACAUUACCAUGGAAAUUAUCGCAUACUCUUUUAUCAUGGCACUGACUUUGUUUCUAUUUAAUUAUCUUUCUCGAAAAACAAAUUAUUUCCCCAAUCAUUUGCUUAGUUUUUAUUUUUUGGUACAAUCAUUUUUGCUUAGUUUGUAUAAAAUAAUCUAGUACACUUGUAAAGAAACGAAAAGAGUAGCAUAAUGCACAUUAUUACAUGGGAAUUAUACUUACGAGAAAACAAGUGGGGUUGAUAUUAUUAUAAGAUUAUAAUUGCAUGCAACAACAUUGUCAUUUCAAAUUACUUUUCUAAAUUGUUAUUUAAUUAUUUAUAUUCGAUUAUCAUUAAUUUAACUUAUCGACAAUACAAUCUUUACAUUUUUUUGCAACAUGUGCCACUGCGUAAAACAUGGAUGUAACCUUGUCAGUUACCUUGAAACCCGAUAGCCACCACAGAAAUUUUGCGUUGCUAGUUAUUUUACUUACUCUAUGGUCAAAUUAGUAGAAAAACAUGGUGUGCCUUUACUGCGCCAUUUUAAUAAUAAAAGGUUGAUCCACUUAAUUAUAUUAAAAAGCAAGAAGAAAACAAAAAUAACCAUCUAAAAACAAUGGAUAAUUUGAGCGAUGGGUGAUGGUGGUGGGGUGAGCCGAUAUAUAGUUUAGCUACGAUUGAAAAUUGAAAUCAUACCUAAAUAGUACAGAAAUUUUUCAUGUUAAAAAAUAUGUAUCUAAUCAUGUAUGAAACCAUAAAUAAAGUGUAUUUGAUCGUGGUUAAUUUUUUUUUUUUUAGAACUACCAAGAUCAAGGGUAUUUCUUAAUUUUUAUUUAGGUAAGGAAUUAAUCCCUUACACCACUAACAUAUGUUUUGUUGGUUAAUCGGGGUUAAAUGUUAAGACAUUAGUGUAAAUUCCAUACUUUAUAAAUCAUAAUUAAAUGUCAUGAUUUGAACCGUGACUAAACAGUGAAGAAAAUUUAUAAUAUAUUUAAGAGGGAGAGGCCAAUGCUCAUACUUGUCUCUCCCCAGCAAGAGACAGUAAAUAAAAUCAAACAAUCUUGUUAUUUGAGAAAUAUAUAAAAAAUGUAAAGGGACAUUGAUAUAUUUUUACCAUUGUCUAAAAUUAAAUAAUUCUAUGCUUGAAAUUUGUAUUUGUGUUUGAGAUUCAUUUGUAGACUAACCUCUUCGAGGCCCCCUGGAUGAGAUUUGUUUUCCAAUUGGUAAGUAGAUGAGGAAGGACUUCCAACUGAAUACCAUGAAACGAGUCCAAAAAGACGUUAAAAAUGAGUUGUAUUGUUUUAUUUAUUGGCAAGUUCUUAUUGGUACAGGACAGAAAGAUAAAGAAAAAAUGACAUACAAAAUAUAUAUUACAUUCUUAAUAAACUACUUAACUACUCCUAUAGUUAGUAGUAACUAGCAACUAGAAACCACCCUAUGUUGUUUUACAUUGGUACAUGACCCUUUCUCCUGCCUAAUAAUUAUAAUGUAAAAGAUC
rnacentral:lncRNA from 1 species